CAGUAGCCGCGGGAAAACGUAGGGUGCAAGCGUUAAUCGGAAUUACUGGGCGUAAAGCGUGCGCAGGCGGUUAUAUAAGUCAGAUGUGAAAUCCCCGGGCUCAACCUGGGAACUGCAUUUGAGACUGUAUGGCUAGAGUGUGUCAGAGGGGGGUAGAAUUCCACGUGUAGCAGUGAAAUGCGUAGAUAUGUGGAGGAAUACCGAUGGCGAAGGCAGCCCCCUGGGCCAAUACUGACGCUCAUGCACGAAAGCGUGGGGAGCAAACAGGAUUAGAUACCCGGGUAGUCCCUGUCUCUUAUAC
rnacentral:rRNA from 1 species